rnacentral:rRNA from 1 species
UUAUGUGCCAGCCGCCGCGGUCACACUGAAUACUCAAAAUAACAACUACGGCAAAUAUGACUAAAACUAGUCCUAACAACUAAGAGACAAACCAAACUGAGACGUUAAACAACAAUGGACAGAAAACCAAAAAUCUUAGCUAGCGGACAUUCAACUCAUAAGGGUUAGGAAACAAACCAGGAUUAGACACCCUACUAUGCCUUUCUUCAACUUCGACCGCCAAAAAAGUACGAGCAACACUUGAAACUUUAGGACCUGGCGGUACUCAANAUCAACCUAGAGGGACCCGUCUAAUAAUCGAUAGUCCGCGAAAACCCUACCCUCCCUAGCCUUCAAGUCUAUAUACCACCGUCGAAAGCACAUUUUACAAAAGCUGAGGCCUGACAGUCUAUGCACUAGCACGGCAGGUCAAGGUGUAACACAUGAGGGGGAAACAAGAUUGGUCACAGUACUUACACAUAAUUAAAACUACAAUGAAAAAUGUAAUAAUCAGAAUCUAGCAGUAAGAGAACCUACGAAUGCCUCUCUGAAGAAAUCCUGCCCUAGAGUACGCACAUACCGCCCGUCAUCCCCUUUAACAAAUACAAGGGGCAAGUCGUAACAUGGUAAGUGCACCGGAAGGUGUACUUAGAAGA